UGCAGAAUCUGUGCCCAUCCUGUGGCUACCUGCUGCUUCUGGCCAUACUCAAGGGUGCUAGGCAAGGAGUUCUCAGUCAGCCCCUACUAGAGAGCCAACCUGAAAAUGGAACUGAUGAUAACGACGCAUAGUAAGCCAGUGAGAUGACUAAAUGAGGAAAAGACUCGACAGCCCAAGAGAUGAAAGGGGAACUAGAGUUCAGAGCUGCAACAUGUGGGAUUGAGACAGGAAUCCCAUUUAACACCAUUCUGCACACCAUUCUCCAGUGAGGGGCUGUCCUUGACAUCGCUUUGUUUGUCUGGCUUAUGCAAGCCCAUCAUUAAUUCACUUUCAAAGUGUGAUAUCAACAGUCUUGGCAUAAAAAACAUCUCUUAAAUAAUAAAGGCUUUGGUUCCACUGGGUUGCUUUGAAAUGGCAGCUCUUUAAAACAUGA